CGGAGUGGCCGCUGUGGGCUUAGCGAAUGUUGAGUGUAGACAGUGACUUUCGGGGUUCCCGUGUCCUGCAAGAGGAUACACACCCUGCGGGGACCCGGAGAGGGAAAAAGCAAGUUGCUUCCCAGCCCAGAACCUGCAAAGCUGCCAGAUGUGCAGAGUCACCUGUGCGGAACCAAAAUCUCACUGGUUAGAAACUCAGACCCCCGUUCCCACUCCUGGGCUGAUAAAUCAAAUAAAUCUCCGCGGCGAGGACCCAGAAUCUGGAUUUAACCAGAUCCUGAACCUCUGGGGACUGCCGAGUAAGAACUUGAACUUGACAGACUUCACACCCCCCACACCUCCAACGGGUGAAAUGGAUGAAAGGGGUCAGAAGGUACAAAUUUCUAAUUGUAAGAUAAAUAAGUUCGGGGGGUAUAAUAUACAGUAUGGUGAGUACAGAUGAUAAUACUGUAUUGCAUAUUUGAAAGUUGCUAAGAGAGUUAGAUCUUAGAAGUUCUCAUCACAAGAAAAAAAUUAUAACUGUUAGGUAAUGGAUUUUGCUAAACUCAAUCAUUGUGGUAUACCUAAAACUAAUACAGUGUCAUAUGUUAAUUAUAUCUCGAUAAAACUGGGUGGGGUGGGGGGAGAACUUGAUAGACUUAAGAGGCCACACAGCUGGGGUACAGUUCCACAGGACACAUGGUGUUCCUGUAGCACAGAGAGUCCCUUUUGCUUCAUGCAGAAUAAAACCCUCUGAUUUCACUGUAGGUGUGCAGUUUUAGCUUUGUGACAAACCAAAGCAGAGGGCCAUGCUGCAUGGAGGAGAAGAUAGGGAUAGAAUAGAAAAGGCAAAUUCUCCCAAGGCCAUAAACAGGCAAGAGAAGGUGAAUGGCAAGUGUUGCAGAGCCGAGGCUGCAUAACUAUUCCUGGCACAGGAAGACACCCUUUUCUGGCCAGAAAUGGUGACAUACUAAUUUCUAGCACUCUAAAAUCCUUCCUCCUCCAUCCUACCUGUCAUGCAGAACACUCCUAUUUUUUUCUGUUUCUCUAGUUACCUUGGUGCCAUAGCUGUCUCUCAGAUGGGUGUAUUUCCAGUACACUCAAUAUUCCUGCUUUUAGCCAGGGUGGCUUCUGCAAAAUAUUACUCCCAUCCAUUGUCUGCAUGUUUUUCACACUGUCACCAUUCAAGGGUGACCUCAUUUCAUGGUCCUAGAUGACACCUUUCUGUAGUUUCCAACAGGCUAUUUAUACAGUUUUGCUGUGAAUAAAACUAAAUGAUUGAUGAAACAUUUUUCCCCAGAGUACGUUUAUUAGGGAUUUCUGCCACCAUAUUAACAUAUAAAACAAUCUGAAUGUUGACAUAGAAAUGCAAAUUUCACUAUACAAAGAUAAGGCUCCAAUUAUAGGUAACAUGGCCCCCAUAUCCCUAGUAUUUCAAUGAAAUCAAUUCAUAUUGAAUUCUUCCCAGAGUUGAUUUUAUAAAUAUUAGACAAGCCACAAAAUAUAUUCCAAAUACAUAACAUUUUACAUGUUCCAAGCACAGACAGAAACACGAUACUUUACCUACACUUUUUCAUGAUCCAACUUGCAAUAGCACUAAAGACAAGAUUGUGUGUGUAUAUGUAUUUGCCAUAUAUGUGUGUGUAUAUAUAAUUAUGUACACACAGUGAUUUUCAUGAGAAAUUGAAACCUUUGAGACUGUUUUAUCCACCAUGAUAACUGAUAGGGGAAAAGGAAUAAUAACAUCACAAAUUCCUCAAUUGGGAAAAAGUAAACACAACUGUGUAUGAGGGGCAUUUCAGUGGGGUGACAUAUAUUCAUACAUAAACACAUAUGCCAAUAAUAUGGACUAUACAUAUACUCACACACUUGCUUUGACCACUGUAUCUCACUAUAUUAUUAUAUACUUUCCAUCGUGGAAGCAGUCUUUUUCUCAUUUCAUUCAGGCAGCUGGUGACAAGUCUUCUACCAAACUUAAGUGGUAUUCCUAAAAUGGCUCUUAUUCUAUCCCACUUUUACUUUUGGUGACUAUUGUUUAAAUUCAGCUGACCCUAUCCUGUCAGCUCCUUCACUUAAAAUAUUUCUAUUCAAUAAUCAAGUUUUCGCCUAAGAGAAAAAAGAGAUGUUAGCCGGAAGUGUA